AUUGAACGCUGGCGGCAUGCUUUACACAUGCAAGUCGAACGGUAACAGGGUGCUUGCACCGCCGACGAGUGGCGAACGGGUGAGUAAUGCGUCGGAACGUGCCGAGUAGUGGGGGAUAACGCAUCGAAAGGUGUGCUAAUACCGCAUACGUACUGAGGUAGAAAGUGGGGGACCUUCGGGCCUCACGCUAUUCGAGCGGCCGACGUCUGAUUAGCUGGGUGGUGAGGUAAAGGCUCACCAAGGCGACGAUCAGUAGCGGGUCUGAGAGGAUGGUCCGCCACACUGGGACUGAGACACGGCCCAGACGCCUACGGGAGGCAGCAGUGGGGAAUUUUGGACAAUGGGCGCAAGCCUGAUCCAGCCAUGCCGCGUGUCUGAAGAAGGCCUUCGGGUUGUAAAGGACUUUUGUCCGGGAGCAAAUACCCAGUGCUAAUAACGCUGGGGGCUGAGAGUACCGGAAGAAUAAGUACCGGCUAACUACGUGCCAGUCGCCGCCGUAA
rnacentral:rRNA from 1 species